rnacentral:rRNA from 1 species
GACGAACGCUGGCGGCGUGCUUAACACAUGCAAGUCGAACGGUGAAGCUCCAGCUUGCUGGAGUGGAUCAGUGGCGAACGGGUGAGUAACACGUGAGCAACCUGCCCCUGACUCUGGAAUAAGCGCUGGAAACGGCGUCUAAUACUGGAUACGAGAAGGGUCCGCAUGGGCACUUUCUGGAAAGUUUUUCGGUUGGGGAUGGGCUCGGCCUAUCAGCUUGUUGGUGAGGUAAUGGCUCACCAAGGCGACGACGGGUAGCCGGCCUGAGAGGGCGACCGGCCACACUGGGACUGAGACACGGCCCAGACUCCUACGGGAGGCAGCAGUGGGGAAUAUUGCACAAUGGGCGAAAGCCUGAUGCAGCGACGCCGCGUGAGGGAUGACGGCCUUCGGGUUGUAAACCUCUUUCAGCAGGGAAGAAGCGAAAGUGACGGUACCUGCAGAAGAAGCACCGGCUAACUACGUG